rnacentral:rRNA from 1 species
AACGAACGCUGGCGGCAUGCCUAACACAUGCAAGUCGAACGAGACCUUCGGGUCUAGUGGCGCCCGGGUGCGUAACGCGUGGGAACCUGCCCUUAGGUUCGGAAUAACUCCCCGAAAGGGGUGCUAAUACCGGAUAAUGUCUUAGGCCCAAAGAUUUAUCGCCUUUGGAUGGGCCCGCGUUGGAUUAGCUAGUUGGUAGGGUAAAAGCCUACCAAGGCGACGAUCCAUAGCUGGUCUGAGAGGAUGAUCAGCCACACUGGGACUGAGACACGGCCCAGACUCCUACGGGAGGCAGCAGUGGGGAAUAGUGGACAAUGGGCGAAAGCCUGAUCCAGCAAUGCCGCGUGAGUGAUGAAGGCCUUAGGGUUGUAAAGCUCUUUUACCCGGGAUGAUAAUGACAGUACCGGGAGAAUAAGCUCCGGCUAACUCCGUG